rnacentral:rRNA from 1 species
CCUACGGGUGGCAGCAGUAGGGAAUCUUCCUCAAUGGGCGAAAGCCUGACGGAGCAACGCCGCGUGAGUGAUGAAGGUCCUCUGAUCGUAAAACCCUGUUUUUAGAGAAGAACAUGCGUGAGAUUAACUUUUCCCGUUUUGACGGUAUCUAACCAGACAGCCCCGUCUAACUACGUGCCAGCAGCCGCGGGAAUACGUCGGUGGCAAUCGUUAUCCGGAAUUAUUGGGCGUAAAGGGAGCGCAGGCGGUAUUUUAAGUCUUAUGGGAAAGCCUUCGGCUUAACCGGAGUAGGGCAGUGGAAACUGGGAGACUUGAGUGCAGAAGAGGAAAGUGGAACUCCAGGUGUAGCGGUGAAAUGUGUAGAUAUAUGGAAGAACACCAGUGGCGAAGGCGGCUUUCUGGGCUGUAACUGACGCUGAGGUUCGAAAGCGUGGGUAGCAAACAGGAUUAGAUACCCGAGUAGUC